CUCAGGAUGAACGCUAGCUACAGGCUUAACACAUGCAAGUCGAGGGGCAGCAUGGUCUUAGCUUGCUAAGGCCGAUGGCGACCGGCGCACGGGUGAGUAACACGUAUCCAACCUGCCGUCUACUCUUGGACAGCCUUCUGAAAGGAAGAUUAAUACAAGAUGGCAUCAUGAGUCCGCAUGUUCACAUGAUUAAAGGUAUUCCGGUAGACGAUGGGGAUGCGUUCCAUUAGAUAGUAGGCGGGGUAACGGCCCACCUAGUCUUCGAUGGAUAGGGGUUCUGAGAGGAAGGUCCCCCACAUUGGAACUGAGACACGGUCCAAACUCCUACGGGAGGCAGCAGUGAGGAAUAUUGGUCAAUGGGCGAGAGCCUGAACCAGCCAAGUAGCGUGAAGGAUGACUGCCCUAUGGGUUGUAAACUUCUUUUAUAAAGGAAUAAAGUCGGGUAUGCAUACCCGUUUGCAUGUACUUUAUGAAUAAGGAUCGGCUAACUCCGUGCCAGCAGCCGCGGUAAUACGGAGGAUCCGAGCGUUAUCCGGAUUUAUUGGGUUUAAAGGGAGCGUAGAUGGAUGUUUAAGUCAGUUGUGAAAGUUUGCGGCUCAACCGUAAAAUUGCAGUUGAUACUGGAUAUCUUGAGUGCAGUUGAGGCAGGCGGAAUUCGUGGUGUAGCGGUGAAAUGCUUAGAUAUCACGAAGAACUCCGAUUGCGAAGGCAGCCUGCUAAGCUGCAACUGACAUUGAGGCUCGAAAGUGUGGGUAUCAAACAGGAUUAGAUACCCUGGUAGUCCACACGGUAAACGAUGAAUACUCGCUGUUUGCGAUAUACAGCAAGCGGCCAAGCGAAAGCGUUAAGUAUUCCACCUGGGGAGUACGCCGGCAACGGUGAAACUCAAAGGAAUUGACGGGGGCCCGCACAAGCGGAGGAACAUGUGGUUUAAUUCGAUGAUACGCGAGGAACCUUACCCGGGCUUAAAUUGCAGAUGAAUUACGGUGAAAGCCGUAAGCCGCAAGGCAUCUGUGAAGGUGCUGCAUGGUUGUCGUCAGCUCGUGCCGUGAGGUGUCGGCUUAAGUGCCAUAACGAGCGCAACCCUUGUUGUCAGUUACUAACAGGUCAUGCUGAGGACUCUGACAAGACUGCCAUCGUAAGAUGUGAGGAAGGUGGGGAUGACGUCAAAUCAGCACGGCCCUUACGUCCGGGGCUACACACGUGUUACAAUGGGGGGUACAGAGGGCCGCUACCACGCGAGUGGAUGCCAAUCCCCAAAACCUCUCUCAGUUCGGACUGGAGUCUGCAACCCGACUCCACGAAGCUGGAUUCGCUAGUAAUCGCGCAUCAGCCACGGCGCGGUGAAUACGUUCCCGGGCCUUGUACACACCGCCCGUCAAGCCAUGGGAGCCGGGGGUACCUGAAGUGCGUAACCGCGAGGAGCGCCCUAGGGUAAAACUG
rnacentral:rRNA from 1 species